AAGAACCCAGAAAAGACACCGUAGAUAAUACUUCAAAUUCAUUAUCUCUGUGAGUGUCAUGACAUUUUUGGCUUCUUAAGUUUAAAAGAGUACCGACGCUUUCACCGCACGUCACGCAGAAAAGCAGGAAAAGAUAAGGCAAUUCGCUGGAACAUUUUUGGGCCAUAAGCACACACAAGAAGGCUGUAAAAAUGAGCAUCUUUAGCAUUUACUGCAUCGUUACUGCCGUCGUCUUCAUGAGUUUCAGAAUCGAUUGGCAGCCUUCGAGCAAUAUGUUUGCUGAAGCGGGAAGAGUGAUAUUUGGCCCCAAAAAUUGCUGGAGAUUUAAUGCCUGGUCUAGUGGAGCAAGAUUAAGCAUCGAGAUGUGACGAUGGCUGUCCAGCUGCUGCAGAAGAUUUAAAGAAGAGGAUAUGAAGCAGCGAAAAGACUAACAUCAAGUGCAAUAAAUAUUUUUCUAAAAUUUGG
rnacentral:lncRNA from 1 species